GAUGAACGCUGGCGGCGUGCCUAAUACAUGCAAGUCGAGCGAACGGACGAGAAGCUUGCUUCUCUGAUGUUAGCGGCGGACGGGUGAGUAACACGUGGAUAACCUACCUAUAAGACUGGGAUAACUUCGGGAAACCGGAGCUAAUACCGGAUAAUAUUUUGAACCGCAUGGUUCAAAAGUGAAAGACGGUCUUGCUGUCACUUAUAGAUGGAUCCGCGCUGCAUUAGCUAGUUGGUAAGGUAACGGCUUACCAAGGCAACGAUGCAUAGCCGACCUGAGAGGGUGAUCGCCCACCCUGAAACUGGGCCACGGCCCAGACUCCUACGGGAGCAGCAGUAGGGAAUCUUCCGCAAUGGGCGAAAGCCUGACGGAGCAACGCCGCGUGAGUGAUGAAGGUCUUCGGAUCGUAAAACUCUGUUAUUAGGGAAGAACAUAUGUGUAAGUAACUGUGCACAUCUUGACGGUACCUAAUCAGAAAGCCACGGCUAACUACGUG
rnacentral:rRNA from 1 species